rnacentral:rRNA from 1 species
GAUGAACGCUGGCGGCGUGCUUAACACAUGCAAGUCGAACGGAAAGGCUCCUGCUUGCAGGGGUACUCGAGUGGCGAAAGGGUGAGUAACACGUGGGUGAUCUGCCCUGUACUUCGGGAUAAGACUGGGAAACUGGGCCUAAUACAGGACAGGACGAUGGUUUGGAUGCUAUUGUGGAAAGUUUUUCGGUGUGGGAUGGGCUCGUGGCCUAUCAGCUUGUUGGCGGGGUAAUGGCCUACCAAGGCGUCGACGGGUAGCCGGCCUGGGAGGGUGUACGGCCACAUUGGAACGGGAAUGCGGCCCAGACUCCUCCGGUAGGCAGCGGUGGGGAAUAGUACACAGUGGGCGGAAGCAUGAUGCGGCGACGCCGCGUGGGGGAUGACGGCCUUCGGGUUGUAAACUCCUUUCGCUAGGGACGAAGCGCAAGUGACGGUACCUGGAAAAGAAGCACCGGCUAACUACGUG